rnacentral:rRNA from 1 species
GGUGUCAGCCGCCGCGGUAAUACGGAGGGUGCAAGCGUUAAUCGGAAUUACUGGGCGUAAAGCGCACGCAGGCGGUUUGUUAAGUCAGAUGUGAAAUCCCCGCGCUUAACGUGGGAACUGCAUUUGAAACUGGCAAGCUAGAGUCUUGUAGAGGGGGUAGAAUUCCAUGUGUAGCGGUGAAAUGCGUAGAGAUGUGGAGGAAUACCGGUGGCGAAGGCGGCCCCCUGGACAAAGACUGACGCUCAGGUGCGAAAGCGUGGGGAGCAAACAGGAUUAGAUACCCUGGUAGUCCACGCUGUAAACGAUGUCGAUUUGGAGGUUGUGGGCAUGACCCGUGGCUUCCGGAGCUAACGCGUUAAAUCGACCGCCUGGGGAGUACGGCCGCAAGGUUAAAACUCAAAUGAAUUGACGGGGCCCGCACAAGCGGUGGAGCAUGUGGUUUAAUUCGAUGCAACGCGAAGAACCUUACCUACUCUUGACAUCCAGAGAAUUUAGCAGAGAUGCUUUAGUGCCUUCGGGAACUCUGAGACAGGUGCUGCAUGGUCGCCGCCAGCU